rnacentral:misc_RNA from 1 species
GUCCUCCCCUCUUUGGACGAAAAGAAGAAAAUCUUUAUCGUAUUUGUAACACGAGUCCGUUUGCUAAUAGAGCGUAACAUUCAUGCGAGAUCGUACAACUGACGCGGUUUGCCCUGCCGUGGUAUGUGGGACAUCCUGAUCCCUCUCAGGUCCUGCUUUGGGAUAUAUGUAUUAACAUAAAAGAAAGUGCGGUCCAAACUACAUCAUGCAAGGCCAUUCGAUCUUCGACGCACGUUGCACCGUAAUUUUAUAGCGAAAGUAGAAAUUGUCUACUCGAUCUUGGGAAUUUUUUGCUACAAAUAUCCUUGUGUCGAACGUUCUCCAUGAAAAUAAUGAUCAUGUUAUUAGAAAACGGACUACAAUGUAUUGACAUUAAUUUCUACGCUGAUCCAUAAAAUUCUUUUUAAGAUUAUUGCCUCCGGUAUUAUUAGAUUUUGAUUUAUCUACGUUGCGAUAGUUCUAGAUACGUAGUAAUGUAUAGGCUAAGAGAGAAAUGGAGAUAUUAAAUAUCACGCAGAAUUAAGCGUGGAGACUCUGUUUGCUUCCAUACGUGAUUUUCUACCUUGCAAGCAGUUUUUUUUCGAACGCGACGAAUACACGUAAUCGUUCAUUGUAACACGAGAGCUCGAGUUCUUUCAUAAAACUGUCACUCUGUUACGACAAUUUACGAUUGUAUUUCAAAACGUCAGCGACAGAAUAUAGGAUCGUUGAACUCCGUUGAAAUAGGAAUAGCCAAGGUGAAGAACACUGUUUACUAUCUUUUCUUAUCAGAAUUAAUUUGAAUUAAUGUCUGUGAAUAUUUUUUUGUUAUUUUAAUAGUUAGCAGCAGUUACGCUUAUGCAUCAGAUUAAGAGCUAAUAUAUCGGAUACACAGGAUCAAAUUAAUUCACUAGGGAUUGUAACCUUUUUAUUUACGCCAGCUGCGGGAUGUGGCGGCCAUCUUGGAUCUUCUCGAUCAAGGGUACAAACGGUCCGAGACCGACGUAUGUGGGUGCUAACAAUGGUAACGCCGGUGGCGCCGGGGGC